UAAGUACUCCCUCCGGUCCAUAUUACUUGUCGCUCAAACGGAUGUAUCUAGAUAUAUUUCAAUGCUAGAUACAUCCAUUUGAUCGGCAAGUAAUAUGGAUCGGAGGAAGUACAUU
rfam:Triticum aestivum genome assembly, contig: Triticum_aestivum_CS42_TGACv1_scaffold_130660_2BL